GUCUAUAACCAUACCACCCCUGAACAUGUCCAAUCUUGUCUGAUCUCAGAAGCUAAGCACGGUUGGGUCUGGUUAGUACUUGGAUGGGAGAAACCUGGUACCUGUUGGCA
ensembl:rRNA 5S_rRNA 5S ribosomal RNA